GGGGUGCUCGAGUGGCGAACGGGUGAGUAACACGUGAGUAACCUGCCCUUGACUUUGGGAUAACUUCAGGAAACUGGGGCUAAUACCGGAUAGGAGCUCCUGCUGCAUGGUGGGGGUUGGAAAGUUUCGGCGGUUGGGGAUGGACUCGCGGCUUAUCAGCUUGUUGGUGGGGUAGUGGCUUACCAAGGCUUUGACGGGUAGCCGGCCCUGAGAGGGUGACCGGCCACAUUGGGACUGAGAUACGGGCCCAG
rnacentral:rRNA from 1 species